CGGCGUGCCUAAUACAUGCAAGUCGAGCGGACUUUAAAAGCUUGCUUUUAAAGUUAGCGGCGGACGGGUGAGUAACACGUGGGCAACCUGCCUGUAAGACUGGGAUAACUUCGGGAAACCGGAGCUAAUACCGGAUAAUCCUUUUCUACACAUGUAGAAAAGCUGAAAGACGGUUUACGCUGUCACUUACAGAUGGGCCCGCGGCGCAUUAGCUAGUUGGUGAGGUAACGGCUCACCAAGGCAACGAUGCGUAGCCGACCUGAGAGGGUGAUCGGCCACACUGGGACUGAGACACGGCCCAGACUCCUACGGGAGGCAGCAGUAGGGAAUCUUCCGCAAUGGACGAAAGUCUGACGGAGCAACGCCGCGUGAGUGAUGAAGGUUUUCGGAUCGUAAAACUCUGUUGUUAGGGAAGAACAAGUACAAGAGUAACUGCUUGUACCUUGACGGUACCUAACCAGAAAGCCACGGCUAACUACGUGCCAGCAGCCGCGGUAAUACGUAGGUGGCAAGCGUUGUCCGGAAUUAUUGGGCGUAAAGCGCGCGCAGGCGGUCCUUUAAGUCUGAUGUGAAAGCCCACGGCUCAACCGUGGAGGGUCAUUGGAAACUGGGGGACUUGAGUGCAGAAGAGAAGAGUGGAAUUCCACGUGUAGCGGUGAAAUGCGUAGAGAUGUGGAGGAACACCAGUGGCGAAGGCGACUCUUUGGUCUGUAACUGACGCUGAGGCGCGAAAGCGUGGGGAGCAAACAGGAUUAGAUACCCUGGUAGUCCACGCCGUAAACGAUGAGUGCUAAGUGUUAGAGGGUUUCCGCCCUUUAGUGCUGCAGCAAACGCAUUAAGCACUCCGCCUGGGGAGUACGGCCGCAAG
rnacentral:rRNA from 1 species